UCUCCCUACCAGUUGCAAUGCUAUAUGGCUCUUGUUGCUGUUAUUCAGGUGCAUCCUCUUCUUGAUCAGGAUCCUGCACCUCAUCAUCUGGAUCACUGGACUGAACUGCUGAAGUAUCAACCUCAAGCUUCACCUGUUCUCUGACACCGUGAUCUGAUUCUGAUAUUGACUUCUCCCUCUGACCAUCCAAUAAAGCAGACUCAUUAAAUGUCACAUCCCUGCUGAUUAUUAACCCUGAAGACUUUGUAUCAUUGCACCAUAACCUAUAGCCUUUCACUCC
rnacentral:lncRNA from 1 species